rnacentral:lncRNA from 1 species
AAUGAUGGUAUGAUUCCACCUCGUCCUUCAUUUUACCUUUUCUAUUUCACAUUACCUGAAAAGUAGGAUCAUUUUCCUUCAUAAUUUAGAUGCUAAGUAUGAAUUUCCAUUUCAUUCUUUUUAUGACCUCCGGGUGUACGGAAAAAUGUAUAAAAGAGACUGCUCAAUGAUGCAAUUAUGGUGGUAGAGUUUGUUUUAUAAAGUACACCGACCCACUUGAUGAGCCUGCCAAAAAACAUAACCUAAAGCUUCAGCUAAACGAGUAUCGUAUCUUCAAUGCAUCUAUGGUGAGUUAAAAGAACUCCCUUUGCACCCCUCUUCCUUAUUUUCCAUUUUUUGAUUUUCAAAUGUUUUCUUUCAGAAUUUAUGUGUCCAUGUUCAUAAGCUUCUACAAGCUGAUUAUUCAGUUUCAAUAGUAUAUCACUUUUAAUACCUCUUUUGAUGAUGGGUUUUUUAUUGACAUGAAUUUUAUGCCUCUUAAAGUUUAAGAUUUAUGUUUCCAUUUUCGUAUUUCUUGUUGGGGUUUUCUUAGAACACUUUCGGGGUGAUGCACUUGGACGUCAAAUAGUAUUCAUUAUUUUUACAAAUAAUCGAAAUUUUGGUUAUUCUUGAACUUUAAGUAUUAAUAUGUCGAUAUCAACCUCUGCAGUUCUAAAAGACGAAGUGCAGCUGAAAGUUAUUAGAUUACAAACAAUAUUUUUUGACUUUGUCACAACUAAUUUGAUUUUAUCCUUCUUAUUGCUUUUUUAUGUUAACACCUACCAUUAAGAACAUGCAAUAAAACUUUGCAAAUUACAUACUUAUAUGAAGAUUUUGUCUAGACUUACAUUAUAAACAUACUAUUUAAUUGCGGUUAAUUAAAAUAAGAUAUUGAUUUUUUAAUCUAUGGUUUUUAAUUGACUUGACAGAAUAUUGGUCCACACUUUGACACAAGGAAUGUGGGAAUAGUUGGUCUGGUCGCACCUUAGGUUUAAAUGAAUCCAAGAGAGACUUGACAUGAACUCCAGGUUAGGUUCUCGGUGAAUUUAGUAAUUAUGUAACAUCUUUUUUUUUUUAUUUUACUUUUGAAUCUUUUUUUAUAUUUGGUAUUCCAUUCCCUAAAACAUACUAUCAUGUACCACCUUUAUUCAGAAAGAUGUGGUUAGAGAACUUUUCCCCGGUAACAAUCAGCAUAAACAAUAUAUUUUUCCUUCACGUCACCACAUCACAUGCUUGAGAGGUGUUGAAUCAAGACAAACAACAUACUUUAACAUUUCUAUAUUACCUUGAGCCACAUUCUUUGGUAUUCUUCAAAUACACUAUUUUCAGCUAUAUAAUAAAGGACAUAACUUAUGAGUUGAGUUACCUCCAAUAAGAAAUUAAGAAUGUAAAAUAAUGUGAAAAUAGAAGAGGCUAGAUACUUGGCAUUUCUAAAGAUAACAGAGUUUAUGAUAUUUUGUUUCAUGUUGACUUUUGGAUUUGUUUUAAAUUUUGUUAGUGUCCUAACUCUAGAAUUAGUAGAGGAUCGUUGAAGAGGUUGUCAAACUGUAAUUCAUUUGUAAGUGGUUAACCUCUAGAUUACUCCAAUAAGUACAAGCAUGUGAAACAAAAACUACCUGAGCUGGUUGAACAAUAGUUUUCUCUUAAUUUCUUGGAUUUUGUGGCUAACAAAUACUUAAGUGAUAAACGAAUAGAAAAAAGCUUGUAUACUUUGUGUGUUGAUCUGGAUCACUUGGCUCAUAUAGACACGACAUGGUUUUUUUUUGUAAUAUUUGAUAUAAAUUAUGAAGUAAGCUUAAUCCAUAAUGUAUAGAGCUACUAUUGGUGUGUUAAUAUUUUUUCUUCCGUUAGUCUGAUCAUUUUCUCUAAUCCUAUGAUCCAUGUUUCACUUUUAGGCGAAGGAUAUAAAUAUUGAGAAACAAAAGUCCUCAUUUAAAUCAACCAAAGAUAAGCAUGCCUCCUCUUGACUUACCCUAUCUAUUUGAAACGCUACAUUAACAACCCACAUCAACCCUAAUUCGUUUUCUUCUCAACAUGGUCACCACUACUCUUGAAAAUACGGCUGCCAAAAAUCAACAUUGCUUAACAAGGUAACUUUUGUUAAUAUUUUAUUUCCAUAUAAGCAGACAAUUGGAUUUUUUUUUUUCAGAUUCAAGAUAUAAACGAACCAGCUUUACAAUACAUUGUGAAUUUCUCUUCUUAAGAUUAUCCUUUGAUUUUGAUUAUAACCAGCUCAUGGAAUUAGGAGGCAAAUGCAAAUCUGGAUACAGAGUACUUUCAUUUGACGUAAUACAUAAAUAUCUUCUUUAGCUAAAUCAUUGGGUCGUGUUUGGCAUGGUCUAAAAUCUUCA